CGGGGUGAGUAACACGUGGAUAACCUACCUAUAAGACUGGGAUAACUUCGGGAAACCGGAGCUAAUACCGGAUAAUAUAUUGAACCGCAUGGUUCAAUAGUGAAAGACGGUUUUGCUGUCACUUAUAGAUGGAUCCGCGCCGCAUUAGCUAGUUGGUAAGGUAACGGCUUACCAAGGCAGCGAUGCGUAGCCGACCUGAGAGGGUGAUCGGUCACACUGGAACUGAGACACGGUCCAGACUCCUACGGGAGGCAGCAGCUC
rnacentral:rRNA from 1 species